rnacentral:misc_RNA from 1 species
GUGAAUCAUCGAAUUUUUGAACGCAAAUUGCACUCUCUUCGGAGAGUAUGCCUGUUUGAGGGUCAGCCUAAAAAAAUCGAAAAAGUGCCUGUUUCGCGUUGACUUUCGCCGGAAAUUGGGUCACCUUAAACCUUUGGGUUUUAAGCGCCUUAAAAUUUCCUUUAUGUUUUAACGAACUUUCCUAAGUUUAACUUACACUUUUAAG